rnacentral:misc_RNA from 1 species
AAUUAACUUCGAUGAGGUUGUUGAUAAAACAAGGAAAUAUGGUGCAGUGGCUGUAUUAGCCAUAGAUUCGGCUAGCUUACCAAUGGGAUGCAAACGCAUUAGAUUUCUCGACAUUAUUGAACCCUAUCCUUAGAAGCACUUGCUUGCAAGAAGGCAGUUUUGUUGGCUCAAUCCAGAGGUUUUAAGCAAGUUAUCUUCGAAAGGGACUCUCUAGCGGUCAUCCACGCAACUAAAAGUUCCACUUGCUUGCUGUCUAUUGAUGGAAUCAUGCAAGAUGUAUUGCAUUUAAUUUCUCAAUUUUAUAGGAGCUCCUUGUUCAUGUAAAUAGGAUAAGGAAUUCAGCAGCGCACACUCUAGCUACGAAGUGCUCACAUGAUGAUUCCUUCUAUUGUAAUUCUUUGACCCCAG